rnacentral:rRNA from 1 species
ACAGAGGGUGCAAGCGUUAAUCGGAAUUACUGGGCGUAAAGCGUACGUAGGCGGUUAUUUAAGUCGGAUGUGAAAUCCCCGGGCUCAACCUGGGAAUUGCAUCCGAUACUGAAUAACUAGAGUAUGGUAGAGGAAAGUGGAAUUUCCGGUGUAGCGGUGAAAUGCGUAGAUAUCGGAAGGAACACCAGUGGCGAAGGCGGCUUUCUGGACCAAUACUGACGCUGAGGUACGAAAGCGUGGGGAGCAAACAGG